rnacentral:rRNA from 1 species
UACGGAGGGUGCAAACGUUCUCGGAAUCAUUGGGCGUAAAGCGCGCGUAGGCGGCUGAACAAGUUGGAUGUGAAAGCCCUGGGCUCAACCUAGGAUGUGCAUUCAAAACUGUUCGGCUUGAAUCUCGGAGGGGGUCAGAGAAUUCCCGGUGUAGAGGUGAAAUUCGUAGAUAUCGGGAGGAGCACCAGUGGCGAAGGCGCUGACCUGGACGAUGAUUGACGCUGAGGCGCGAAAGCGUGGGGAGCAAACAGG